rnacentral:tRNA from 1 species
GGUACUGUGGCUUAGUUGGUCAAAGCACCUGUCUUGUAAACAGGGGGUGCUGGGUUCAGAUCCCAGCAGUGCCU